AGCUUCGAGGUGUUUACACGUCAAAUUGCAAGUUUGGAGAAGGGCCAUAAAGGCCCCGGGGCUU
rnacentral:tRNA from 1 species